rnacentral:rRNA from 1 species
CUUUUUGAAACAAACUUGCUUUGGCGGUGGGCCCAGCCUGCCGCCAGAGGUCUAAACUUACAACCAAUUUUUUAUUAACUUGUCACACCAGAUUAUUACUUAAUAGUCAAAACUUUCAACAACGGAUCUCUUGGUUCUCCCAUCAAUAAAAAACGCACCGAAAUGCGAUACGUAAUAUGAAUUGCAAAUAUUCGUGAAUCAUCAAAUCUUUGAACGCACAUUGCGCCCUCUGGUAUUCCGGAGGGCAUGCCUGUUUGAGCGUCGUUUCUCCCUCAAACCGCUGGGUUUGGGGUUGAGCAAUACAACUUGGGUUUGCUUGAAAAACGGUAGUGGUAAGGCGGGAUCGCUUUGACAAUGGCUUAGGUCUAACCAAAAACAUUGCUUGCGGCGGUAACGUCCACCACGUAUAUCUUCAAACUUUGACCUCAAAUCAGGUAGGACUACCCGCUGAACUUAACCAUAUCAUUAACCGAAGAAA